rnacentral:rRNA from 1 species
CAGGAUGAACGCUUGCUACAGGCUUAACACAUGCAAGUCGAGGGGCAGCGAGAGGAAAGCUGCUUCCUUGUCGGCGACCGGCGCACGGGUGAGUAACGCGUAUCCAACCUUCCCCAUAGUAGAGGAUAGCCCGGCGAAAGUCGGAUUAAUACUCUAUGUUGUGUCAUGAGGACAUCUGAAUAACACUAAAGAUUUAUCGCUAUGGGAUGGGGAUGCGUCUGAUUAGCUUGUCGGCGGGGUAACGGCCCACCGAGGCGACGAUCAGUAGGGGUUCUGAGAGGAAGGUCCCCCACAUUGGUACUGAGACACGGACCAAACUCCUACGGGAGGCAGCAGUGAGGAAUAUUGGUCAAUGGACGAGAGUCUGAACCAGCCAAGUAGCGUGCAAGGAUGACUGCCCUAUGGGUUGUAAACUGCUUUUAUGCGGGAAUAAAGUCAGGUACGUGUACCUGUUUGUAUGUACCGCAUGAAUAAGGACCGGCUAAUUCCGUGCCAGCCGCCGC